rnacentral:tRNA from 1 species
GGGAAUGUAGCUCACUGGUAGAGUGCUUGCUUAGCAUGUAUGAGGCCCUGGGUUCAAUUCCCAGCAUCA